AGGACGAACGCUGGCGGCGUGCUUAACACAUGCAAGUCGAGCGGAAAGGCCCUUCGGGGUACUCGAGCGGCGAACGGGUGAGUAACACGUGAGCAAUCUGCCCUUAGCUUCGGGAUAGCUCCGGGAAACCGGAAUUAAUACCGGAUAUGACUAUGGCUGACAUCAGCCACGGUGGAAAGUUUUUCGGCUAGGGAUGAGCUCGCGGCCUAUCAGCUAGUUGGUGGGGUAACGGCCUACCAAGGCGACGACGGGUAG
rnacentral:rRNA from 1 species